rnacentral:rRNA from 1 species
GUCGCAAGACCAAAGAGGGGGACCUCGGGCCUCUUGCCAUCGGAUGUGCCCAGAUGGGAUUAGCUUGUUGGUGGGGUAACGGCUCACCAAGGCGACGAUCCCUAGCUGGUCUGAGAGGAUGACCAGCCACACUGGAACUGAGACACGGUCCAGACUCCUACGGGAGGCAGCAUG